AUUUGCCUCCAGGUGUGACAACCUCUCACCAACCUCAGCUGAUUUUGAAAAGCNAAGCAGACGAAGACCUGGUUAGUACUGGGAUGGGAGACCACCAAGAAAUACCAGGAAGAAGUCAUUG
rnacentral:rRNA from 1 species